GGGGCGGGGAGCAGGCCGGGGUCUGUGGGGAGGGGACGAUUCCCGCGGGCGCGCGGAGAGAGGACGGUGACAGCCACGCGCGCACGUGCGCGCCUGGCCGCAGCGCGGCCCCGAGACCUCCAUCGGCCGCUGAGAGGCGCGCGGGGGCUGGGCCGCUGCCGUCGAGGGGCCCCGUCCCGGGGCGUCCCCGGCGUCCCCAGCGUCCCCGGCCCGAGUCCCUGAGCACCGGGCCGAGCCCACCCCGUCGGUCCUGGCUAGUGUUUCGUCCCGGUGGCCGUAAGGGCCCGUCCCCCAACUCCCCUUUACGCUCCCGGGGCUGGGUCCUCACGGUCCAUGCUGGCCGCUGGGGGCCUGCGCCGACCAGAGAGCUCCCAGGCCGGCCAGUUGGCUACCAUGGUGGCCCUGAGGCCUGUGCGGCUCCUCCAGGGGGGCUAACAGGUCCGGAGCGCAGGCCUCGGGGCGCGAGGGUCCCGGGCCUGAGCCCCGCGCCAUGGCCGGGGCCAUCGCUUCCCGUAUGAGCUUCAGCUCGCUCAAGAGGAAGCAGCCCAAGACGUUCACCGUGCGGAUCGUCACCAUGGACGCUGAGAUGGAGUUCAACUGCGAGAUGAAGUGGAAAGGGAAGGACCUGUUUGACUUGGUGUGCCGGACCCUGGGGCUUCGGGAAACUUGGUUCUUUGGACUGCAGUACACGAUCAAGGACACCGUGGCCUGGCUCAAAAUGGACAAGAAGGUGCUGGAUCAUGAUGUUUCAAAGGAAGAGCCAGUCACCUUUCACUUCCUGGCCAAAUUUUACCCUGAGAAUGCCGAGGAGGAGCUGGUUCAGGAGAUCACGCAACAUUUAUUCUUCUUGCAGGUAAAGAAGCAGAUUUUAGAUGAAAAGAUCUACUGCCCUCCCGAGGCUUCUGUGCUCCUGGCUUCUUACGCCGUCCAGGCCAAGUACGGUGACUAUGACCCCUCUGUUCACAAGCGUGGAUUUUUGGCCCAAGAGGAAUUGCUUCCAAAAAGGGUAAUAAAUCUGUAUCAAAUGACUCCAGAAAUGUGGGAGGAGAGAAUUACAGCCUGGUACGCAGAGCACCGGGGCCGAGCCAGGGAUGAAGCUGAAAUGGAAUAUUUGAAGAUAGCUCAGGACCUGGAGAUGUACGGUGUGAACUACUUUGCAAUCCGGAAUAAAAAGGGCACAGAGUUGCUGCUUGGAGUGGAUGCUCUGGGCCUUCACAUCUAUGACCCUGAGAACAGGCUGACCCCCAAGAUCUCCUUCCCAUGGAAUGAAAUCCGAAACAUCUCAUACAGCGACAAGGAGUUUACUAUUAAACCAUUGGAUAAGAAAAUCGACGUCUUCAAAUUCAACUCCUCAAAGCUUCGUGUUAAUAAGCUGAUUCUCCAGCUCUGUAUCGGGAACCAUGACCUUUUUAUGAGGAGAAGGAAGGCUGAUUCUUUGGAAGUUCAGCAGAUGAAAGCCCAAGCCAGGGAGGAGAAGGCUAGAAAGCAGAUGGAGCGACAGCGCCUUGCUCGAGAGAAGCAGAUGAGGGAGGAAGCAGAGCGCACGAGGGAUGAGCUGGAGAGGAGGCUGCUGCAGAUGAAAGAAGAAGCGACAAUGGCCAAUGAAGCUCUGAUGCGGUCUGAGGAGACGGCUGACCUGUUGGCAGAAAAGGCCCAAAUCACAGAGGAGGAGGCAAAACUCCUGGCACAGAAGGCCGCAGAGGCUGAACAGGAAAUGCAGCGCAUCAAGGCCACAGCCAUUCGGACAGAGGAAGAGAAGCGCCUGAUGGAGCAGAAGGUGCUGGAGGCCGAGGUGCUGGCGCUGAAGAUGGCGGAGGAGUCAGAGAGGAGGGCCAAGGAGGCAGAUCAGCUGAAGCAGGACCUGCAGGAAGCCCGUGAGGCAGAGCGAAGAGCCAAGCAAAAGCUCCUGGAAAUCACCACCAAGCCCACAUACCCGCCCAUGAACCCAAUUCCAGCACCGUUGCCUCCCGACAUACCAAGCUUCAGCCUCAUUGGUGACAGCCUGUCUUUCGACUUCAAGGAUACUGACAUGAAGCGGCUUUCCAUGGAGAUAGAGAAAGAAAACCGUGAUGCACGAUGUCCUCUUGCCGGCAGAGUGGAGUACAUGGAGAAGAGCAAGCAUUUGCAGGAGCAGCUCAAUGAGCUCAAGACUGAGAUCGAGGCCCUGAAACUCAAAGAGAGGGAGACAGCCUUGGAUAUUCUGCACAACGAAAACUCCGACCGGGGUGGCACCAGCAGCAAGCACAAUACCAUCAAAAAGCCUCAAGCCCAAGGCAGAAGACCUAUCUGCAUUUGAGCCCUGAAAAGGGAAGAGGCUCAGAGAGGUCAAGGGUGUCCACUGAAGCCACACAGCAAGCUGGUGAGAGGAGAAUUAGUGCCUGGACCUUCUCAGCCGCAUGUGGAGCUCCUGCCUUUUCCAUGCAUCCCACCAUUUCUCUCUAGCCUACAUCUGAUUGACUCAACAAACAUUGUCAGAGCUGCUACUAGCCAUCCCUCCUGGCAUGUCCUCAUUUGUCACUUCCUAAUUUGAGUUCCUGGGCAAAUCUGGAAACUUACUUAGGAUUGGCCGCCAGCUUCUUCAGCAUCUGUCUGAGCAGUCUUCCCUUCCACUCCAAACCAGCCCUGAGCUCACCUUGCAGAGCGCCAAGUCCCGAGUGGCCUUCUUUGAAGAGCUCUAGCAGGUGCCCAGCCACCCCAGGAUCUGUCACAUCUGCUGCUUCCUGGCAUCAGAGGGAUGGGUCAGACACCGUGGGAGUCAUCGUAGGUGGGCUGGCUGGGAGCUUCCGUGGGAGCUCUGGAACUUUCCCCAGCUGAGUGGAGAGCCCAACCCCCUUCAUGUGCAAUUGCCUUGAACUGUGACCUGCAGAGAGCUCUCUUGUGGGGUUCUAGUUCUUUUUAAAAUUUUUAAAAGAAGUAUUUGUCUUUCCUCAUCUGACGUGGGGUUUCAUACUUCCUUUGUCAGAGGCACCCUGGGGUGUGUGUCUCACGUCCAGUGCUGACCUUCCCAGCUCAGGGAAGUGGUUGUAGGGAGUGAAGUGCACAGGAGCCCUGGAGACAGGGAGGCUGGCGCCACUGCCCCCGCCCUAUGCUAGGUCCCAGAACAUUCAUCUCCACUGGUGAGGAACCGGCAUGCGAAGAAGUGUGGCCCGCCCAAGCCCAGGCCCAGAGCGGCCUGCCUGCCGGCCUGCCUGCUGCACAUCAUCGCUGAGCUGGCCUGUGGCUCAUGACAGGCCACGCGAUGGGUCUUCAGCCCAGGCGCCCCCGAGGCCGCGCGCUGGCUGCCGGCUGGUGGGGAAUGGGAAAGGCAGCUGUGAAGGGGGAAGACUCUAGGCAGAAGCUGUGAUGACGGGCUGGCUGCCAGCAGAGGGGCAGGGAGGCCAGCAGAGCUGUAUAGGAAUCUGCUCCACACAGAACACUCACUCCCCUUCUGCUGCCUCAGACCAGGGUCCAAGCGGCAGGCGGGAGCUGCGUCUUCCUCACCCCCUCAGCCUCAGUCUUUCCUGCCUGUGGCGGGCUGGGGAACUCCCCGGGCUCUUGUAGUCAGCACCUGAGCCCCGCCAGGCUCUGUUAGGGCUCUGAGGCCCCGCAGGUACUUCUUCUUGCUGAGGCCUCCGUCUGUGUGGCUGACCUGAAUCCCCUCUCCCUCUGGCCACGUGCCAGCAAGCCCUUCCUAAGCCUUGAUUGUAUUGGGCCUCCUUCUGGUGUUGCCCUUGUACCCCAGCCGGCCCUUUAUUUUAUAUGCCCCCUUGGGCCAUGUGGGGUCCCUCGUGCCCCUCCCAGCACAAGCCAGGUGUCCCCUCCCUGUUGGUGCUCUGCCACUCGGGCAGCAGCAGGCCACAGAGCCACCCCCGUGGCACCAGCCGCCUUAGUUUGGGGCUACUUUGUUUGCUCUGUGGUUUGGUGGUGCUUCUGUGACCCACUGGCCAUUCAGAUCCUUCCGACGGGGCUGGUAUACAGAGCAGGAGUUAAGUCUGAACCAGCGAAAAGAGGCUUACUAAGUGAAGACAUGUGAAGGCCUGGAGAUUUCCUGCGAGUGGGGGUGGCUCUGGCUGUCCUGUGUGGUUUUGAGAAACUCCUAAAGAUCCUGCCUUCUUUCCACACUCAGGCCGACCUGACAGUGUCCCAGGCGGGCCACCCUGCUAUUUGGGGCCACGUUGCCCUGAGGAAGGCAGCCCUGUGGGUACCCAAGCCCCUUAGGGCCGCUUAGGGCAUGCAGGGUGGGAUGGCUGUGGCUGAAAGAGCUUCCUUGUGUCUCCCCGUCCCUCAAAUGCCUCUUCCCCCGAGACGUGGUCCCAGGGAGGCAUUUGUAAUGUAGGGCCUGGCUCUUGUGUUGAGGCUCUGUCUCCCCAGGCUCACCAGCCAUCCCUGAAUUUCCAUGACAAGUUACUCUUCUCCUGACCUGUAAAUUGAAUCUGUAACAGUGGCUGUGGGCACAGGAGCAUGGUAGUGGUUUAUAUAAAUGUUGUCGGGCUUUGUUGUUUUUAUUAUUUAACUGCUGUGUGUGUGUUCCAAGUCCGGGAACUGCCGAGCCACGUGGCCACAGGGGAGCCAGCUAGCAUCUGAGCUGUGGCAGGGGCACCCUGGGGCCCGAGAGCGGACUGGGGGAGGGGGGCAGCAGAGCCUCGCUCACCCAGGAACACUUCAGCUCUCCUUGGAGGCUGGAGAGGGCGGUGGCCCUCAGAAAGGCCUUGAGCCACAGUGGAAGGAAAAGGAAGGAAAGAGGAGCUCAGUUUUCAGGGACUCGUGCCUGUGGCUCAGGUGACCGUGCUCUUUUCAAGUGAACAUUUUGGGGGCACAGGAGCUUAUUAGGUAAGGAAGCCUCUGUGCCCCCCCCCGAGAGCAGGGCCCUAGCCACAGCGAUUUCAUUACGGGCACUUCUGAGGGUUCUCAGGCUGCCCAGCUGGUGACACCCCGUGCGGCUGCGCUGUUGGCCCUUCGCUGUUGCACACAGACCACCUCGCUCAUCCUGACUGGGGCCCUGCCUCAGCCCCAGCCACGCUCUGACCUGUGGCGUCUGCUCAGUUAUCCCUGUACCUGCCAGGCCACGCUAGACAACACCCCGUGGCAUUACGUAACACUUCUUAAGUGACUGUGUUUUGUAAUCUUGGGGACAGGCUUCUCUCUCCCUCUCUUUUCUCUUACAAAUCAAAACAGCAAAUCCAGAGGCUGACAACCAGGACGGGGACGGAGUGCUGCUCGCUGACAGGGCUGGGGCCUUGCAGCCCCCGGAGGGGCCGCCUCAGUGGGGAGACAGCCCCUCCCGGCUGCCCGGGGGCCAGGCUGGCCCCCGUGGGCUUCCAGGGAAGCUCCAUCCCUUUCCAAGAUGUCAAACCGCAUUUGUUCCAAGGCUAUUUUCUAUUCCGGGGGAUUGUAAUUUAAGUGAUUGUUUUAAUAAAAAUUCUAAGCCGUCAAAAGUA